ensembl:lncRNA
GGUUAGAAAGGUUUUUUAUUAGUUUUGUAUUAAUAAAUAAUAGAAACAAUAUGAUUGUGGCAAUAUGAAAUAUUAGAUCAGUAAAUAUAAAGUACAGUGUGUUAAACAGUCAUAUAAAUGUAUUUAAUAUAAAAGCACAAUCCAUUCCCUGUUUGAAAUCUUAAAAUCUAGAGAUAUACCGAUUAUAGCAUGAUAUUGUAUAUAUGUAUAUUUUUAAUUUAACAAAACAGCUGAAAUUCUCAGGAUAAUUAUGUGAUAGAAAAAACAUUUUUAUGGUGCUGUAUAACUCCCCCCUGCUGGUCUGACGGAAUUAUGGGACUUUACGCAUUUACUGAUAGAAGUUGGCAGGAUUAAAACAAAGUUAGGAAUGUUGUAUUACAAUGUUAAAAUGCUUAAUAAUUAAGGCCCAUGAUGGCCAAAAGAUUACAAAAGCAUUAUGUAGGCAAGCUGAAUGUUAGGUGGAGUAUACAAUUAUCAAUAAAGUUCUAUACCAACAAACAUGACUUGAUUCAAAGGUCAAUGCUCGAAAACAUGGAAACGUUUGUCCCCCUUGGAUGAAAAAAAAUGCAGACGAUUUCUAUGUUUCUGCUCAUUACUAUAAGUCAUCACAGUAAUACCAUAUAAAAGAAAAAACGAUUUCUAACAAAAGUGCUGCCUUUGUAAGUAGUUAUCAGUGAUACCACUUUUUUCUGUGGAAUGACAUUACAAUAGUUACCCGCUACGGUGACAAAUAAGUCAUAAGAAUAAUAGGAAAAUAAAGAAAGGCAAGAAAUCAGAAUGGCCCAAAUCGAUAUCAUAUGAGUUUAACAAUGCAGUAGAAAAAUAUAUACACUUUAUCUGUAAUCUAGUGUUUUCGGGAGUGUCUAACUGAUGUGCAACAACUGGGUCCUUAAUUAUAGUGGUACUGAUCCUUACAAACUAAUCUUUAAAGUUUCUCCUUUGAGUAUAAACAUGUCUAUGCACACAUAAACAUAUAUGCAGACAUUCAAGGUAGAUGGCCCAUGGGAACUGCAUUACAGGAUUUCAGAAGCAGAUAUCUUUAUCCAACUGAACAAUUGGGAGUGACCGAAAUGUUCUACAGCCAAAGAAAUCAAACUGGGCUGCAGUAUUAUUCACCUGGUUGUCAUGGUGACAUCUUAAAAUGUAUAUUAUCAAUGCAAGCUGCAUUCAAAUAUCCUUAAUAUUCCUUCCACCAGUAUUUGCCCUUUCAGUUGGAUACGGAAAAUCGUUGGGGUGUUGGUUCUGACAAAUUCUAUUUCAGUCUUUUAUGCGAUAGGUUUUGAGCUAGCCAGCAAGUCCUGUUGAACAUGGUUAAACGGGACACCCCCAUCCCCCGUCAAUCAUUCAUGUCUCUUACGCCGGUGUCCAAUCUUUAUUUUAGCUACCAUCCACUCAGCUCUUCCCUCUUUGUGUCAGUCGCCAUAACAACCACAAAUGUUCUGACAGAUUUGCUGGCACUGCAGUGAGAGGUGAAGCUUGCAUGAGAGAGAGAGAGAGAAUAUUUCCUCCCACCCUCCCGAGAUGCUUGCUAGAAUAAAUGUACACCAUGUACCCAAAUCCACUGAGAUGUGAAUCUUGUUACAACAUGGAAAUUAAGGCUCAGAUGUUCAUUUACAUCAUUAUCAUCACGGUGGUUCAGAUGACCUCUAGCCAAAGAAUAAUCAACCUCUUACAAAAAAUAUUCAUGAAAUAAACCGUGCAUACACGGUUUAUUAAAUGAAUUGAUUUCAGGAAAAAAUAAGAAAAAAGUAUUUAGUUUAGGUUUUCAUUGGUAUUAACUUUUUUUCAAAACAUAGAAAAUAACUAUAUAAAAUAUUUGUUUUGUGAGUAUUAUUAGAGACUUGGCCUUUAAAUUCUUCCAGUUCACGCUUACUUAACUUUUAAUAAGGCUUCUUAACCAAAAAAAAGCCACGCAAAACUGAUCAUUUCAGACCAUAUAUAAAAAUAUAUAUCACAUAGUAUCAAAAAAUUCCUCAGAUGAAUGACUUAAUUUGGACCGGAGGUUAUUGUAUUUGAAUGCAUUCCAAGGAAAACCCAAAGCCAACUCCUCGCCCUCAACAAAAGCCCUAUUGUCACACAGCGCAUGCCAAUGUACAGAGAUUAGCACAGGCCGCAAAGACAAAACAUGAGGUCAUUGUUAGUCAUACGGUUUCCAAGCCGCAGAUUACUGGGAGUGGGGGGGGGAUUAAAAACGAUUUUGAAAACGAGCAAUAUUGUCAUCAAGUGGUGGAGGGUGAGAAGAGCUAAUUUCCUGUUAUGGACGCUUCAUAUAACGGUUGGUUCUUCUGCAGGGUGGAGGCGCUGGGGCAGUCUAGAGGGUAGGAGGGGGAUAAGAGGAUGUUCACAGAGACGUAAGAGACAUUGUUAGGGGGAAAUACAUAUUAUUUUAAAUUGACGUUGUCAUAAUCACACUAAGAUUAGGAAAGCCAAGAUUUAAUAGUUUGCCAGCGUGUUG